UGGGGAAUAUUGGACAAUGGACCGAGAGUCUGAUCCAGCAAUUCUGUGUGCACGAUGAAGUUUUUCGGAAUGUAAAGUGCUUUCAGUUGGGAAGAAAGAAAUGACGGUACCAACAGAAGAAGUGACGGCUAAAUACGUGCCAGCAGCCGCGGUAAUACGUAUGUCACGAGCGUUAUCCGGAUUUAUUGGGCGUAAAGCGCGUCUAGGUGGUUAUGUAAGUCUGAUGUGAAAAUGCAGGGCUCAAAUCUGUAUUGCGUUGGAAACUGUAUAACUAGAGUACUGGAGAGGUAAGCGGAACUACAAGUGUAGAGGUGAAAUUCGUAGAUAUUUGUAGGAAUGCCGAUGGGGAAGCCAGCUUACUGGACAGAUACUGACGCUAAAGCGCGAAAGCGUGGGUAGCAAACAGG
rnacentral:rRNA from 1 species